AACAAUGCUCUGGCAAUCCACGCAGCUGCUCUCCAAAUGUCAGCGCCAGCCCUGUCAAGAGUUUGAAAGCCACCAAGCUGAAGGACUUUGUGCGGUACCUUUCUCAUCCACAUUUUCCCCAAGCGCUCUCAGGAACCUGGCAACAGGUAACACGGCAAACUUUGCCUUGUAAAGUGGCAAGUGGCAGAGUUUCAGAGAACAAAUGGAUUUUACCCCCCCUGGCAGCUGCUUCUCUCUUACCACCCCAACCCCUCAAACUCCCUCCCUGCCCCCCAAAAUGUCUGAGAAAACAAAUGUGACUGCGCGCAGCCCUGUUCUCCAGUGCCUCCUAGUGGCCAUCUCGGAACACGCCGAUGCGCCUUGAAAUCCUCGGCUGUCUCCAAGCCCUCAUGGCCCACCGUGCUUCUGUGUCAGCAACCCCUCCUCAAAUUGCACAGCUAAGCGACGCGGUCCUAUUUUGCUGUCACGAUCCUGGAGUUGGACUACUUGCCACAAUCUUCCAUGGUUCGCAAGGAAGAAGCAUGGAGAAGAGGAGGGGUAACUGCAGAAACUGAAGCAGGUGGUGGGCUGGACAGGGCCUAUUUCAAGAAACCAGCUGAUGUCACUGAGCAUGGACUUUUGAUUUUUGAUUUGAUUUGGGCCAUAGCAACACUUAUGUAGUAUUUCUACCGCACAAGAACAACAGAUGUGAGUAACCUCAAGA